AACCACUCCUCCUGAUAGCAAUUGGUGACCAUUGAUCCUCCCAAUACCUAUUUCCUUUCCAAAAAGGCUCUGCUGUCAAAAGGGGAUGUCACGGAUACAGAGAUGGACUCAGGAUUCAUCCAAUAAAGAUUUUAUUAAGUUCGCUACCACACACUUUACACAAAUCAUGAACUGUAAAACAUGACAAGAAAGAAUGUGCUAUGAACCAAUAAGACCACAGAUCGUAACUUGUACCUAUCAGAGCAAUGUCUAUUAUUUUCAAAUAAGUAUAAAAUGUCAAUGUCUGCAAAUGGGAGGGAUGUCAGAUCAGGAAAAUUCCCCUGGCACUUUUCCUUGGCUACCAGAGCAAUAAAGCAAUCUCUGACUCUACCCUCAAACUCUGUGUAUCUUAAUUGGAAUCAAUUGGAGGUGGCACACCAGAUAAAGUCCAACAUCAACAAUGGAAUGGCUAAGGGAAGGACUAUCAUAGAAAAAUGAUGUGUCCUCAGAGCCCUUUGGACAUUGCAGAGGAAGGAAGAGAAUACCAGCAUACACAGAAUAGGCUUAAACCUGCAUCUGUCACUAACCCAGGCCCGGCCCAACACGGCACGCUGGCCACGCCCUCGCAUUGGGCGCCACCUUCCCAGGGGCGCUAUUGAGUUUGGAAAGGACUGCCCAGCUGAGCUGAAGUCCAGGCUGCUGGGGCUUGCCUCCUGGAGAUGCUUUGGAGGGCGCUGGGGCAAAGGAGCCUCGCUGAAGCUCUGGGCGAGCGCCCUUUGGGACAAAGCAGUGCCUCUCUUCCCCCGUUUGGCAGCAGAUGAGCCAGGUUGGACCUGCUUCGGCUUCCCUCCCCUUUGCCUUUACAGCUGGAGAGCCAGGGCUGCCUGCACAUGCAAAAUGGAAAGGACACACGAAGUGGGAAAGGCCGGGUGGAUCUCUCCUACUUGUUCAGGAUGGGCUCCCAUUGGCUAUUUGGCGCUGUUUCAGCCGAUACUGGCCUCCCUCCCUCUCCCGUGCCUGGAAGCCACGCCCCCUCCUGUUGCUUUCCUCCAUUAGCAGCAGCCAGGCCAGCAACGCGUGCCCUGCGAGGGCCUGCUUGCCUCCAUUGGGAGAUUGGGUCACAGAUUAAUACCUGGAAGCAGUGCUUUGGCUAUGAAUCCAGCUGUGCUCUUCACAGAAGUUACAAGGGAGACAAAUUAUUUCUCCAAGAAAAAAAAAACUGCUGUUGAACUUGGAGGAAAACCACCCACAAUUGUAAAGGAAGCCAGUACAAUAAAUACUAUUAUUUUAUGGUUCUCCUGUCUUUUAUAAAUAGACACAUGUAUAUACACUUUCAUUUAAUGGAAUGCUUAUCCUGCUGGGAAUAUUAAUUGAAAAACCAAAUGUUUCACAUUGUGACAGGUAACCUCUCCCGGAUUUGGUAUUUUCCCCCCUUUCAUAUGCAUCAACUGUAUAAUUAGUGCAUUUUCUUGUAAGUAGACAGUAAUUUCUCUUCAGCGGGUUAGCUUUUGUUCCCAAUGUGGCAAAGAAGACACACUGGUAACUAACGACAAACAAACUGCGUUAAUACAUUAGUCUGACUUAUAAUGGCAAAAACAGAAUUAUGUUUCCUACAAAAAUAAAGUGUACAGUUUGACAAUGACCAGCCUGCCUCCAUUCAUUUUCUUUGGUUGUUUUUUUUAAUCCACAACUAACAACUUCUUACAGACGGAACAUUGUUUGGUACAGAUCUGCCACUUUGCUUAUUAGAAGCUACAAUCUUUUUUUCUAAAUUACUACUUCAAUUCAAGGUUAAUCUGCUUCUGCCAUCUUGUGGCCAGGUCAUAGUUAAUUCUGGAAGAAUUCACAUUACUUACUCCUGUUUCCCUCCUCCUCUUCUAUUCUUUUGAUCAUGUUUUUUGAGUUACCUUAGAUUGGUUUAAGUAAAGGCGACUUGCACUUUGGAGAGUAUAGGAUAUCUUAGCAGUCCAUUUUUUAGAUUCUCUUUGGAAGUAUAUUGGUAUUCUUAAUACUACUUGUUGAGACAUAGAAGUAGUAAGUACUACUGAGUGCUCAUGUUUUCUUUGUGGGCUUUCCAGAGGUGUCUGGUGGGUCAAAGAAAAAAAUCGUUAACACCAGCUUUAUAGUCAAGAGAUAAAUAUGCAGAGAUUAUACAUGUGAUCACAGGGGAAAUCAGAUAUUGUAAAAAUUAGUUGUAAAAAUUAGCAGAAUGAAUGUUCAUUUGGCUAGCAAUGCCUCUUCAGCAAAUAUCACAAUCCUUUUUCAUAGUCCUUUUAAAUACAAUGAAUGCAGCCUGGAAUAGCCCUGUUUAUAUUCUGCUGUUGAAAGGAUAAUUGGAUUCAUUGGGAUCAUGAAAUACCAUACAAUAUAAAAAUUACAUGUUUUAGUUUAACUCACCUUUAUUCCAGCUUGUGAUUGGUGUGUCUGAGUUUUUUGCAUGGGAGUCACUUGAUUCUGAAUGAACACGUCUUCAGGCAGAAAAUAUUUUAGAAACCAUAAUGUGUUGGACUUCUCCUUUGGGUCAUAACCCUACAACGCAAGCAGGGUGAGAAGUAGUAUCUUCUUAAAUCAUAGUGGACAAGUGUUGACACAUAUUAAGCUUCUCCAGAGCAACUUCUCUCAUGAUGGGUCUCCUUGGAGGUUGCUUCCAGGCUUUGGAGCCUUCUGCCAAAGGAGGCCAUGAUAGCUCUAUCUCUGUUGUUCAUCUUCUGAUAAACAUUUUACCAAAGCAGCUUUUGGACUAAGGUGACUUGCCAUAAUGUAGGUUUUAAUCUUAUGAGCCCUGUAAAUAAUUUUUAUAUUGUUGUAUUUUUGUUGGGCAGGUUUUCAGUUUGAUGAAUCUUAAGGCCUUUAUUAUUUUAUCUUUCUUUGUUUUAUUGACUGCUUUGAGUAUUCUUUUGGUAGAAAUGCAGAGUAUGAAUUUAAUGCCAUAAAUGCAUGAGCGAGUGAGCUAUGAAGUGGUAAAUAAAUAUCCUUAAAUCAAAUGUCAUUGCAUUUCUUGACUCAGCCAUGUUCUGCUAUUGUGAGGAGGGAAGAAAAAAAACUCAAUCAGUUAGGCUAGCCAUACAUUUUCUUAACCUGUGUCAUAUUCUCUCCACCUGUCUUUCUCUCAACUAAAAAUCUCUCUUGAAGCCUUUCACUACUAAAGUUGAAGGCACUUUUAAGCAAGAAAAC
ensembl:lncRNA